rnacentral:rRNA from 1 species
GACGAACGCUGGCGGCGUGCCUAAUACAUGCAAGUCGAACGCAGUGGGGACGGGUGAGUAAAACGUGGGUAACCUCCCAUCAGAGGGGAUAACACUUGGAAACAGGUGCUAAACCGAUACUGAUGGAUGAACCAGCGGUGAAGUAGCUAGUUGGGGAGGUAACGGCUCACCAAGGCCACGAGGCAUAGCUGUCCUGAGAGGGUGACCGGCUACACUGGGACUGAGACACGGCCCAUACUCCUACGGGAGGCAGCAGUAGGGAAGGUUCGGCAAUGGACGAAAGUCUGACCGAGCAACGCCGCUUGAGUGAAGAAGGUUUUCGGAUCGUAAAACUCUGUGGUUAGAGAAGCGGUAUCUAACCAGAAAGCCACGGCUAACUACGUGCCAGCAGCCGCGGUAAUAC